rnacentral:rRNA from 1 species
GGCUGCAGUCGAGGAUCUUCGGCAAUGGGCGCAAGCCUGACCGAGCGACGCCGCGUGCGCGAUGAAGGCCUUCGGGUUGUAAAGCGCUGUCGAGGGGGAGAAAGCCCGCAAGGGUUGAUCGACCUCUGGAGGAAGCACGGGCUAAGUUCGUGCCAGCAGCCGCGGUAAGACGAACCGUGCGAACGUUAUUCGGAAUCACUGGGCUUAAAGCGCGUGUAGGCGGAUGGGAACGUCGGAUACUGAAAGCCCCCGGCUCAACCGGGGAAGUGGUUCCGAAACGACCUGUCUGGAGGGACGUAGGGGGAUCUGGAACUUCCGGUGGAGCGGUGAAAUGCGUUGAGAUCGGAAGGAACGCCCGUGGCGAAAGCGAGGUCCUGGACGUCUGCUGGCGCUGAGACGCGAAAGCUAGGGGAGCAAACGGGGUUAGAUACCCCGGUAGUCCUAGCCGUAAACGAUGGGCACUGGGUAGGGGGCUCGCCGAUGGGCUCUCUGCCGUAGCGAAAGCGUGAAGUGCCCCGCCUGGGGAGUAUGGUCGCAAGGCUGAAACUCAAAGGAAUUGACGGGGGCUCACACA